UUGGCUCAGGAUGAACGCUGGCGGCGUGCUUAACACAUGCAAGUCGAACGAAGCAACUUAUUACGAUCCCUUCGGGGUGACGAUUUGUUGACUGAGUGGCGGACGGGUGAGUAACGCGUGGGUAACCUACCUUGUACAGGGGGAUAACAGUUGGAAACGACUUGCUAAUACCGCAUAAGCGCACAGCUUCGCAUGAAGUGGUGUGAAAAGUUUUUCGGUAUAAGAUGGACCCGCGUCUGAUUAGCUAGUUGGUGAGGUAACGGCCCACCAAGGCGACGAUCAGUAGCCGACCUGAGAGGGUGACCGGCCACAUUGGGACUGAGACACGGCCCAAACUCCUACGGGAGGCAGCAGUGGGGAAUA
rnacentral:rRNA from 1 species